rnacentral:lncRNA from 1 species
GAGCCAAGAGGUGAGCUCAGCGGGACCCAACACGCAUCCUGUCCACUUGAGCUUUUGUGGCAAAACAGGCAGGAAGACAAGACCUGGAAGGAAGCCAUAGCACUGUCCCUUGCCUUUCGUGGCCUAGUGGCCAGCAGAAAAGAGGGAAGGUUGAGACACUGACCAGGGACUUGCUCUCCAAGUUACAAUUUCCCUACAACCAGAGUUUUUAGAAUAAUCGUUUUCUAGAACAAUUCUAGCCUGGCUUUGAGGAAAGUUGAAACCAUGCUGGGGGAACUACAUGUGCAUGGCCCCAGAGCCAGCACUAGAUGACAACAGUUUGGGCAAUUCAGCAAAGCAAUUGCCACAGCCAGAUUUCCAAACAUAUGGAUUCCAGCUCAUGCUGCCUUCUCGAGUCUUCUCUCUACGUGGAAAAUGAGGCGAACGGGAUCCCUUUUUUCCCAGAAUCAGCAUCUCCUCUGAACACUCCGAGUCUCACAGAACAGGAGAACGAAAACAAGGUCUGAACCACAGCUUCUUGUUCUAGGAGUUGAGCGGAGGACCACUCAACACAUCCCUUGUCCUCUCUGAGAUGAAGGUGUUCUGGCAUCGGCCAGCUCAGAUACGACUGCUUUGUCUUCAUGCACACCCGAAAAAUAGCAAGAUGCUCUUCAGCUCUCAGGGAGGCUGCACCCCAAAGAGUUCUGGUCAAGUUUAAAGUGCUCUAUUGUUACACCUAAUUUAUGCACCACAGUUCAGCCACAGAGCGUAAUGCUAACCUCCCCAACAGAGUUUCAGCCACACAGCAUACUGCAGCAUGCUG